ACUGACAAUCCAACUCGAACUUGUUUACGGGACAAAGUAUGUACCCGAUGUGGGCAACUAACCAUACACAGAACCUUCCAAAAUAACCCUUUAAAAUAUAAUGCCGCACUAGGUGUUAUAAAGCUCAUCCCAGCACAUAUGCCCAAUUUUUGUAUUUAUCAAAAAAGUAAAAAUUCGCAAACUAAAAGCUGAAAACCACAUUACAACAAUAGAGGCCAAGCACCUUCAUCAUUCCAAGACUAACAAAAAACACAUGCACAAAUCGCUGGAUCUGAUUUUCAUCAGGCAAAUUUGUGAUUAUAAAAUAAUUUCAAUCUUUCUUUCAAUAAUUAACAGCCUCUCUAAUCAAAAUGAUAACCCAGGUUAAACAAGGGCAAGUUCAACAGAACAGAUUACUAAUAAGAAGAUCAAAACCUCCACCCAGUUAUCCUUCGCCGAAUUAACGAACGGAACCGAACUUCCAAACCCGUCGUCUGACAACUCUUCAACUAGUAACAAUAACGAUUGUUCACCCCAAAGAAAACGCCGACUAAAUGCUGCGAUUACUUUGCAACGAAAUAUCCCUGAAAGUCCUGAAAAGAUGGAUGACAGGCAAUCAGAGUUCAAGCAUGAUGGGGGCCUCCCAACCCAGUAGAAUCUCUACCCACACCAGAAACACAAGGCUGUUUCUAUCUUCUGUUGGACAAACUCUAAAGUUUAAUGCAAUGCCUAUGUUAAAAAAGAGGAGAAUUCAACCACUAAACACCUCUAAUGAAGAAACUGAUGACAAGGAAACUGUGAUAACAAGUACGUCUGAUGAUGAUGAUGAUGCUGAUGAUGAAAGUGGUGAUACUGCUGAAGAUUUAUCAGAUGAGGAGGCUGAGGACUCUAAUACAGAUUCAAAUGAGGAGGAGGAUGAGGACGACGAGGAGGAGGAUGAGGACGACGAGGAGGAGGGGGAAGAAGAGGACAAAGAUGAAGAAGAGGAUGAAGAUGACAAAGAUGAAGAUGACAAAGAUGAAGACGACGAAGGUGAAGACGACGAAGGUGAAGACAGUAAAGAUGAAGACAGUAAAGAUGAAGACAAUAAAGAUGAAGACAGUAAAGAUGAAGACAGUGAAGAUGAAGAGAAGAAGAACUAUGUUCCUAGUCGUAAAAUAAGACUUUCAGAUUUCAUAGAGAACAAAAAAGGAAAAAUAGUUACAAUGGACUACUGUACAAAGCAUCUAUAUAAAGGACCUAUUCAGAAUAUUAAAGAUAUGCUUAAUGGCUCUGCAGAAGAGGAAAUUGAAAUAAAAGAGGAGGCACCUGAUAAAAAUGAACCUGCUUUCAGAAAUGCACCUAAAAAGUGGGGCUGGAAGCAAGAAGUGAUGCUUUUAGAGGGCAUUGAAGCUAAUGGCCUUUUUAAUUGGGAAUUGAUUGCUGAACAGUUAUCUAAACAAAGUAGAAAAAAAUUUAAACCAGAUGAAGUAAAAAAUCACUACUUUCAGUAUUAUUAUAAUGGAACUCUUGGCCAAGUUUGGGAUUACCAGCUAGAGGAAAAAACAUUAGAGCACUUUGAUCACACAGAUCCAAUUGUUGUGAAUGUAAAAAAGUAUUUACCACAAGUUGCAGUCCAACAUCUGAGGGAAAUAAAAUUCCUGCCUCAUAGAGAAGACUUUGAAAAUUAUGUUUAUGAAGAUAUAGAGAGGAUGCUUACCCAUGUUGAUUUUUCCUCAUAUUAUAUCAACAAUCUGAAAUCUCUAAAAAUAGAUCAAGAAGUGCGAAACCUUCAACUUGUUAUCGUUGAUGCCUACCGAACAAUUGUGACUGAGAGAAUGAAAAUGUACAAACUCAUGCAAGAUUUUAAACUGAUAGAACAGUUUUUUUUAAAUAUGCAAAACAAAAACUUUAAAAAAUGUGAAGUAGAUAGGCAUUUUACUGCAAUGCAGAAAUUCAUUAGCUUCUUCGACUCUCCUAAUGAGUUCAUUAAGUUUUAUGUUGAUUGUGUGAGAGAGAAAUUAUUGAAGCUAGAAAUAGCUAGACUUUAUCAAGUAUUAGCUACUAAAAGGAAUAAAGAAAGAGAUCCAGAGGUGAAAACUCUGCUUAAGAAAAGAGCACCAUCUUUUCUUGAUGUAGUGCUCCUUCUCGAUGCUGACAAAGAUUUUAUACUGCACAAGGCUAAAAAGAGGAAGAAAAAAUUCAAAUUCACGAAAAGGAAGAGAACACGAUGAAGUAUUCAUUAAUGCCCUUCCAACUAUACUUGAAGGUUUAGAGCUAAGGUUUGCAAGAAUGGAAUAAGAGAAAUGUAACUUUGAAAAUCAGGGAUUAAGACUUACGACAAAAUUAGCAAGUCUACUAUCUAUUUGAAUUAGUGCAUAUGUGUAAGAUAUAGUGCUGGUGAUAUUGUACAAAUUGAAUGGCAUUUGAUCAGAAUUGUUGUGAUCAAAAUCUUUCUCAUCUUUUGAAAUGUGAUAACAUUUUUAUUGUUAAUAUUUUAUUUGUGUCAUUAUUUAAACUGUUCAAUUUUAAAAUAAUUGUAAUAUUAUGCUUCUGUUCUUUUCUUAAACAAAAACUUCAAUGAGUUUUCACCUUAAAAAACAUUAAAAGUGCAUAACAGAAAAAUUCUUAUUGUUAUUUGCGUUCCAUUUAAAAAAACAUUGUUCAAAAUAUUGCUAUUUUCUUGUUUUUAAUUUACUUUUUUGUUAUUUAGCAUUGUUUUAAGACUGGUUUUUAAAACAUUAUUGUUAUUCAACUAUGUUUGGAUCUUCUAACUUUUUAUGCAUUUUGUGUAACUCUAUUCUAUUUCUGAUUUUUUUUUUAAUUGUUACAAAAUUAAACAUUGUAUUGACGAAAAAAUGUAACUAACUAUAACGAAGAUUCAAUUUUUUAAAUGUUGUUAAUUGGUUAUUUCUUGAAUGUUACAAGUUUUUAUGAAAUUUUUAUGUGAACUAUUUUAAUAAUGGUAGUAUUUUGAAUUUUUAUUGCGUAAUUAUUUUAAUUUGUGCUUUAGAUUUCCUUAGAAAUACUCAAAAUAAUAUAUGAAAGUUAAAGUUUCAGACUAAAUUCUCCUCUUUAUUUUGAAUCCAGCUUGUUUUUAUGUAUAUAAUACAUUCUCAAACAUUCAUGUGUAUAAUUGGCAUUUUUUAUCAGUAUAGUACACAUACAUUUAUUACAUUUUCAUGAUCAUUGUAAUUUUUCAUCAUUGCAUUUGCUCGCAUAUUCAUAAUUUUAUUUUUAGGAAUAUUUUUUCUAACAAACUUUUAUAUGAUGUAUAUUAACUGGAUCUGUUUUUCCUUGUCGUAAGUUUUAUUCUUCAUUCUUGAUGUAUAUUUAUUGUAUAGCUGUUUUUUUAACCCACAAAACAAAUUUUAAAAUUUCAAAAAUUGUUUUCUUUUGAUGUGCAAUUAUUAAUUACCUUUAAAGGAAGUGUAAAUUAUUCCAUAAUUUCUUUCUCCUUAAUUUUAAGUUUUUCAUGUUACAUUAGAUGAUUCAUUUUAUAUUUAUUCAUUUUAACGAUGUUUUAAGGAAUAAAAUUUUAUAACAUUAUUA